GAGGGUAUAGCUCAGUGGUAGAGUGCAUGCUUAGCAUGCAUGAGGUCCUGGGUUCAAUCUCCAGUAUCUCCU
rnacentral:tRNA from 1 species